GGGGAUGUAGCUCACAUGGUAGAGCGCUCGCUUUGCAAGUGAGGGGUACGGGGUUCGAUACCCCGCAUCUCCA
rfam:Picea glauca, whole genome shotgun sequence.